rnacentral:rRNA from 1 species
AGAGUUUGAUCAUGGCUCAGAACGAACGCUGGCGGCAUGCCUAACACAUGCAAGUCGAACGGGAUCCUGGCUUCGGCCAGGUGAGAGUGGCGGACGGGUGAGUAACGCGUGGGAACCUGCCCAUUGGUCUGGGAUAACUGCGGGAAACUGCAGCUAAUACCGGAUGUACCCGAGAGGGGAAAGAUUUAUCGCCGAUGGAGGGGCCCGCGUCAGAUUAGGUAGUUGGUGAGGUUAAACGGGCCCACCAAGCCUACGAUCUGUAGCUGGUCUGAGAGGAUGAUCAGCCACACUGGGACUGAGAUACGGCCCAGACUCCUACGGGAGGCAGCAGUGGGGAAUAUUGGACAAUGGGGGCAACCCUGAUCCAGCAAUGCCGCGUGAGUGAUGAAGGCCUUAGGGUUGUAAAGCUCUUUUACCAGGGACGAUGAUGACGGUACCUGGAGAAUAAGCCCCGGCUAACUUCGUG